rnacentral:rRNA from 1 species
GAUGAACGCUAGCUACAGGCUUAACACAUGCAAGUCGCGGGGCAGCAUGGGGGUUGCUUGCAAUCCCCGAUGGCGACCGGCGCACGGGUGAGUAACGCGUAUCCAACCUGCCCUUCACCACGGGAUAACCCGGCGAAAGUCGGACUAAUACCGUAUGUUGUCCAUUGACGGCAUCCGAUUUGGACGAAAGGGUUGCCGGUGAAGGGUGGGGAUGCGUCCGAUUAGCUGGACGGCGGGGGGACGGCCCACCGUGGCGACGAUCGGUAGGGGUUCUGAGAGGAAGGUCACCCACACUGGAACUGAGACACGGUCCAGGCUCCUACGGGAGGCAGCAGUGAGGAAUAGUGGUCAAUGGGCGUAAGCCUGAACCAGCCAAGUAGCGUGCAGGAUGACGGCCCUAUGGGUUGUAAACUGCUUUUAUGCGGGGAUAAAGUGGCCCACGUGUGGGUUUUUGCAGGUACCGCAUGAAUAAGGACCGGCUAAUUCCGUG